rnacentral:rRNA from 1 species
GGACGAACGCUGGCGGCGUGCCUAAUACAUGCAAGUCGAACGGUCUUUCUAUGGAAGCUUGCUUCCACUGAGGAGAUAGUGGCGAACGGGUGAGUAACACGUGGGUAACCUGCCCAUAAGAGGGGGGAUAACAUCCGGAAACGGGUGCUAAUACCGCAUAGUUUUCUUGAUCGCAUGAUCGGGAAAGGAAAGACGGCCUUUGUGCUGUCGCUUAUGGAUGGACCCGCGGCGUAUUAGUUAGUUGGUGAGGUAACGGCUCACCAAGACGAUGAUACGUAGCCGACCUGAGAGGGUGAUCGGCCACAUUGGGACUGAGACACGGCCCAAACUCCUACGGGAGGCAGCAGUAGGGAAUCUUCCGCAAUGGACGAAAGUCUGACGGAGCAACGCCGCGUGAGUGAAGAAAGGUUUUCGGAUCGUAAAACUCUGUUGUCAGAGAAGAACAAGUUGGAGAGUAACUGCUCCAGCCUUGACGGUAUCUGACCAGAAAGCCACGGCUAACUACGUGCCAGCCGCCGC